GAUGAAGACAUUUCCUUGCUUCACUUUGCUUGAUUUGUGACAAUUGCUCCAUGUGAUACUUCCUAAUAUAGACUGCCAAAGUGACUUGCCUAGGUGUAAAUACACAACUGUGCUUUAUCUGAAACAGAGAAAAUCCAUACCUGGUUUCUCUUGAAGUAACCAGAGUACUUUGAUGAGCACUUGUAAGACAGCACAACAAAGCAAAUACUUUAGACUUGGGGGAGUGCAGCAGGCACCCAGGCUGUGGGCAGAGCACCUACAGGAGUCAUUGCAGUGGACCCUUCCAACAGCUGCUUAAGGUGAGCACCUGAUAGGUUUGAAGUAAUAGAGGAAGAAUAGAAAACGUUAAGUUAUGCAAGAUCAACCUCAUGUCCUUGUGCAGGAAAUACAAGCUAGAAAAGAUACCUCAGUCGUAUGGAAAACACUGAGUUUACCUAUAUUAAAGGAGAUAGUAGUGGAAAGAAGUCGCUUGGAAAGCAAGACUGCUGCAGCAGCAGCUGUGUACUACUGGUAGAGCAACCAAAGGGCUGCAGGCUGCUUUGCACAGGGUCAGUUCUGGGCACAGAUGCUAGCAAAAGGAACGGAACCCCAGGGGACAUUGGACAGCGCAUCUGUUCUUUGGGCAAAGAGAGAAAAGUGGCACAUAGGAGCACAUUAACCAAGAGAGAGAGGAUGAGCCUCAGAAAGAGCUCUUGUGUCAGCUGCAGCCUGGCCUUGCCUUGCCAUCACCCCCGGCUUAUGCUCAAGAGAAGCAAAAUCCAAUUUGCUAGCAUUGCUGAAGAGCCUGGAAGUAGCCGCUAGUACAAAUCUGCAAGAAAAAUAAUAAGCAUCGUGCAGGUUGCCUUCCUUUCCCUCAUCUCACAAAGCUUGCUGGGUGCAAGAAGAGCGCUGUGAAAGAGAUUUCUGCUGGAAGAUUUCCUGCCAUGCAGAGGGCACAUAGAAACAAGAACAAAAGAGAUCCAAGUUAAGUAUCACUAAUCUUCAGUACUUCAGACAAGUACCUGUCUAUUUAUGCUUAGAAACCCCACUGAUGGAAACCACACCACCUUUGCAGAAACUCUUUUGCUAUUCAGCCAUAAUUUACAGUCAGAAAGCUGUUUGCUAACAUCUCACAUUUCCAAUGCUGCAAUUUGUGUGCUCUAUUCUGCUAUCUGAACAUGGGAAACAGUUUUUUCUCCUUCCUUUUGCAUUCACUUUUGAGUAUCCGAAGACUCAUAGUUCGUGUCAGAGUUCAGAGGCAGAGGUGUCCACCUGACAGAGGGAUUUGAGGAAAGGAUAUAGAUCCAAAGCACAAAGACAGCCUGUGCUUGUCUUUCUGGAAGGAAAACUGCAACACCCUUAUAGCAGCAAGGCACUUAGAUAAGAACAGGUCAUUUUUAUGAAAUUCAGAGGGCCAUAUAAGCUAUCCUAAAGAAUCUUUGAAAGUAGCUACAAGGGGAGAGUGUGGGUACUUUCUGUAGGUGUCCCACUGCUCUUUUCAAUCCUGUGUCACUGGCCCCAGCAGGGAGCAAGGGAAGCUGUGGCCUUUCCCCUGACAUUAUUUUUUACAUAUUUCACUGUGGAUAUUCACCCACCAUCUAUGAAGACCAGCACACAGCCUGGAUAGUUUCAAGCUUAGCACUUGUUGAGUGUAUGAAGCAAAGAAGUUGCAGGAGUCAGUGUGAGAAAAAAAGUUCCACUCUUUUCCUGUUGCAGUGUAUAUAUGUCUGUUAAACCAAUCAAAUGCCUCUUUCUCCAUAAUGAAUAAAUUGCACAAUAUUUUGAAAUCUCAGUGCUUUGAAGAGAUUUUAUUAACAGCAGUAGUGCACUUCCAUGAAAAUCUGAAAAUCUUUUGAGUCCCCCUUAUCUCAGAUAUUCCUGAAGAAAAUUAUUCCAGUGCUGUCCCAUGAGGUAAGCUGUGUCCAGGUAUGCUUUAAUAGAUCACACUGUCGGGUCCAUAGAUUAUAUAAUCUAUGUAACUUUAUGAAUUCCUUUAUAUGUGUUCCGCAAGAUUUGACUGUUGGGUUCUAAGAUUGAAAUCUGCUAUUGAUAUAAUUUGGCUCAGAUGAAGUACUAAUUUUGUACCCGAUUCACAAAUUUUAUAAGAAUUAAUUUAUGAAAGCAACUAAACAACAAACAAAACUCUUUAUUUAUGUAUUAAUUUUAGGCUUAAAUAGUAAUUAAAUAGUAGUGAUUUAAUAGUAGUGGCUAAAGUGCAAGAUUUUUAGUUUUGUUAUGGUAACCAAGACUUUUCUAAAAGAAAAAAUUAAACACUGAGAAGAAGGAAAUGUAUGGAUACAGAAGCAAAGCAGCAAGAACAAUUUUCACUGACUUCUCUCUCAUUUCUCUUGUUGUUUUUUUGUUCAUUUGUACUGAAGACAUUCAAAGGAAAAAUAUGCAGAGUUUGCAUACGGAAUGUAUCUAUUGUUCCUUCAAUCUCUAUGAUAACACAUUGAUGCUUGUUAAACUAUUUCCAUAGCAAAAGUAUGAUGUUAUUCAUGAAAUAUGCUCUUUUGGAUACAGAAAGAAUAUUCUUUUGCUAUUGAUUUCUGGAGACAGAAUUAACUCUUUUGAUUUUUUCAACACAGAAAAAAAUGAACAAUAAAAAAAAUCUCUACCGUUGCUGAAAUCCUCAGCAAAGCUUAUCCAAAUUGAUACUUAGGAAGUUAAAAUACCUCAAGGACAUAGUUUCACAAAAUUACUGCUUUGUCCUAUUAUUUUGUAUUGUGAUCUCUUCUAAGCGUAAGACAUUUGCAGUAAUACAAGUUCUUUGCAGCACUAUGGAAAAAUGUAUGACUCAAAGAGAUUUAUCCUUCUGUUUUAGGGUAAAACAGUGCUAGGCUCCUGAUUUCCUUGUAAGAAUUCUGAAGGAAAAUAUACAAAAUAUACGUGCUUGUGGUUUUUGUUCCACUUUUUUUUUUUUAUUGAAAGGAAAUCAGUGAAUUCAGAUUUCCCCCUGUUAAUUGGAUUUUUGAAAAUACAGACAUCUUAAUAUAGACCAACUUAUAUCAACCAGUGCCAAAUUAACUCAUGGUUGCUCUCAUUGACUUAACAAUCAU
ensembl:lncRNA